rnacentral:lncRNA from 1 species
GAAUAUUCAUGGCUUGCACAACUUUAGCCUCCUCUCCACAAGAUCAGAACGAUGACCAAAUAAAGAAUGCUUCACGGAUGAUGCAUACUUGAAGCAGUAGUGUGCACGAAACACAACACGGAUGUGAGCUCCUCUCCUCUUCUCCUUCCUCCACGCGACGCUCGAGCUCUCGCCUCUCGGCGCCUUGAGAAAAUUUAGAAAAGCUUGACCUGGCCUUCGCCGAACUCUGUGCCAUCUGGCUGGCCAUAUUUUCUCUCAUCCUCCCGUGCCGACCAAUUGGGGCUUCGCCUCUGCUUCCUCUCUCUCUCUCUCUCUCUCUCUAGGAGAGAGAGAGAGAGAACUGCCCAACACGUCGCUGCCUCUCUCGCUCGCCUCGUCGUUUCUUGUUUCGCUCUGUUGUUUCUUGGUGUUUGGAUCGGUUGGCAUUUUCGAACGGCCGGGAGCUGGUAGCCGUCGUGUCUUUGAUUUUUCUGGGGCUCUCGUUGAGCUCGGUGGCGGUGGCGGUGGUGGUGGUGGUGGUGGUAGUGGUGGUGGCGGCGACGGCGUGGCAAUGACGACCGCGAGGCAGUGGUGG